rnacentral:rRNA from 1 species
ACUGACGCUGAGAAGCGAAAGCGUGGGGAGCGAACAGGAUUAGAUACCCUGGUAGUCCACGCCGUAAACGGUGGACGCUGGAUGUGGGGCCCAUUCCACGGGUUCCGUGUCGGAGCUAACGCGUUAAGCGUCCCGCCUGGGGAGUACGGCCGCAAGGCUAAAACUCAAAGAAAUUGACGGGGGCCCGCACAAGCGGCGGAGCAUGCGGAUUAAUUCGAUGCAACGCGAAGAACCUUACCUGGGCUUGACAUGUGCCUGUCGACUGCAGAGAUGUGGUUUCCCUUCGGGGCAGGUUCACAGGUGGUGCAUGGUCGUCGUCAGCUCGUGUCGUGAGAUGUUGGGUUAAGUCCCGCAACGAGCGCAACCCUCGCCCUGUGUUGCCAGCGGGUUAUGCCGGGAACUCACGGGGGACCGCCGGGGUUAACUCGGAGGAAGGUGGGGAUGACGUCAGAUCAUCAUGCCCCUUACGUCCAGGGCUUCACGCAUGCUACAAUGGCCGGUACAACGGGAUGCGACAUGGUGACAUGGAGCGGAUCCCUUAAAACCGGUCUCAGUUCGGAUCGUAGUCUGCAACUCGACUACGUGAAGGCGGAGUCGCUAGUAAUCGCGAAUCAGCAACGUCGCGGUGAAUGCGUUCCCGGGCCU